rnacentral:rRNA from 1 species
GUGCCAGCCGCCGCGGUAAUACGUAGGGGGCAAGCGUUGUCCGGAAUCAUUGGGCGUAAAGCGCGUGUAGGCGGUUCGGUAAGUCUGCUGUGAAAGUCCAGGGCUCAACCCUGGGAUGCCGGUGGAUACUGUCGGACUAGAGUACGGAAGAGGCGAGUGGAAUUCCCGGUGUAGCGGUGAAAUGCGCAGAUAUCGGGAGGAACACCAAUUGCGAAGGCAGCUCGCUGGGACGUCACUGACGCUGAGACGCGAAAGCGUGGGGAGCAAACAGGAUUAGAUACCCUAGUAGUCC